rnacentral:rRNA from 1 species
UACGUAGGGGGCGAGCGUUGUCCGGAUUUAUUGGGCGUAAAGAGCGUGUAGGCGGUCAGGUAGGUCCGUUGUGAAAACUCGAGGCUCAACCUCGAGACGCCGAUGGAAACCAUCUGACUAGAGUCCGGAAGAGGAGAGUGGAAUUCCUGGUGUAGCGGUGAAAUGCGCAGAUAUCAGGAAGAACACCCGUGGCUAAGGCGGCUCUCUAGUACGGUACUGACGCUGAGACGCGAAAGCGUGGGGAGCGAACAGG